AGGAGGACGAGGAUUAGUGCUCGGUAUAACCCGAGGUAGUUCGCGGUGGUUCCGGGUGAUCGAGGUGAGCGAGGAAGAGGACAAGGAUGACCAGGACUUGUACACUUUCUGUGCCCCACCUAGUGAUCCACCAGUACAUAUCCUCCGACGUGACAUCGCUGUACUACGUAUAAAGAAGAAAAGAUUUAUUAAGAUGCAAAUUGCUCCUCUCUUCUUGCCAUUGUGUUUUCAGCCAUUGUUGUGCUGUGUGUUUAAGAUUUAGGACAGUAUAUAAUAUAGAAUAACAGGUACAGCUACGAAUAUAGCACUACAAUAAAUCUUAUAGAAAU